GAUGAACGCUGGCGGCGUGCUUAACACAUGCAAGUCGAACGAAGCACUUUAACCUGAUUCUUCGGAUGAAGGUUUUUGUGACUGAGUGGCGGACGGGUGAGUAACGCGUGGGUAACCUGCCUCAUACAGGGGGAUAACAGUUAGAAAUGACUGCUAAUACCGCAUAAGACCACAGAGCCGCAUGGCUCGGUGGGAAAAACUCCGGUGGUAUGAGAUGGACCCGCGUCUGAUUAGGUAGUUGGUGGGGUAACGGCCUACCAAGCCAACGAUCAGUAGCCGACCUGAGAGGGUGACCGGCCACAUUGGGACUGAGACACGGCCCAAACUCCUACGGGAGGCAGCAGUGGGGAAUAUUGCACAAUGGGGGAAACCCUGAUGCAGCGACGCCGCGUGAGCGAAGAAGUAUUUCGGUGUGUAAAGCUCUAUCAGCAGGGAAGAAAAUGACGGUACCUGACGAAGAAGCACCGGCUAAAUACGUG
rnacentral:rRNA from 1 species